AUUGAACGCUGGCGGCAUGCCUUACACAUGCAAGUCGAACGGCAGCACGGACUUCGGUCUGGUGGCGAGUGGCGAACGGGUGAGUAAUGUAUCGGAACGUACCUUUCAGUGGGGGAUAACGUAGCGAAAGUUACGCUAAUACCGCAUAUUCUGUGAGCAGGAAAGCAGGGGAUCGCAAGACCUUGCGCUGAUUGAGCGGCCGAUAUCAGAUUAGCUAGUUGGUGGGGUAAAGGCCUACCAAGGCUACGAUCUGUAGCGGGUCUGAGAGGAUGAUCCGCCACACUGGAACUGAGACACGGUCCAGACUCCUACGGGAGGCAGCAGUGGGGAAUUUUGGACAAUGGGGGCAACCCUGAUCCAGCCAUGCCGCGUGAGUGAAGAAGGCCUUCGGGUUGUAAAGCUCUUUCGGCCGGGAAGAAAUCGCAUCAGCUAAUACCUGGUGUGGAUGACGGUACCGGAAUAAGAAGCACCGGCUAACUACGUGCCAGCAGCCGCGGUAAUACGUAGGGUGCGAGCGUUAAUCGGAAUUACUGGGCGUAAAGCGUGCGCAGGCGGUUGUGUAAGACAGGCGUGAAAUCCCCGGGCUCAACCUGGGAACUGCGCUUGUGACUGCACAGCUAGAGUACGGCAGAGGGGGGUGGAAUUCCACGUGUAGCAGUGAAAUGCGUAGAGAUGUGGAGGAACACCGAUGGCGAAGGCAGCCCCCUGGGCCGAUACAGACGCUCAUGCACGAAAGCGUGGGUAGCAAACAGGAUUAGAUACCCUGGUAGUCCACGCCCUAAACGAUGUCAACUAGGUGUUGGGUGGGUAAAACCAUUUAGUACCGUAGCUAACGCGUGAAGUUGACCGCCUGGGGAGUACGGCCGCAAGGUUAAAACUCAAAGGAAUUGACGGGGACCCGCACAAGCGGUGGAUGAUGUGGAUUAAUUCGAUGCAACGCGAAAAACCUUACCUACCCUUGACAUGUCCAGAAGCCCGGAGAGAUUUGGGUGUGCCCGAAAGGGAACUGGAACACAGGUGCUGCAUGGCUGUCGUCAGCUCGUGUCGUGAGAUGUUGGGUUAAGUCCCGCAACGAGCGCAACCCUUGUCGUUAAUUGCCAUCAUUUAGUUGGGCACUUUAACGAGACUGCCGGUGACAAACCGGAGGAAGGUGGGGAUGACGUCAAGUCCUCAUGGCCCUUAUGGGUAGGGCUUCACACGUCAUACAAUGGUCGGUACAGAGGGUUGCCAAGCCGCGAGGUGGAGCCAAUCCCAGAAAGCCGAUCGUAGUCCGGAUUGCAGGCUGCAACUCGCCUGCAUGAAGUCGGAAUCGCUAGUAAUCGCGGAUCAGCAUGUCGCGGUGAAUACGUUCCCGGGUCU
rnacentral:rRNA from 1 species